GAUGAACGCUGGCGGCGUGCCUAAUACAUGCAAGUCGAGCGAACGGACGAUAAGCUUGCUUCUCUGAUGUUAGCGGCGGACGGGUGAGUAACACGUGUAUAACCUACCUAUAAGACUGGGAUAACUUCGGGAAACCGGAUCUAAUACCGGAUAAUAUUUUGAACCGCAUUGUUCAAAAGUGAAAGACGGUCUUGCUGUCACUUAUAGAUGGAUCCGCGCUGCAUUAGCUAGUUGGUAAGGUAACGGCUUACCAAGGCAACGAUGCAUAGCCGACCUGAGAGGGUGAUCGGCCACACUGGAACUGAGACACGGUCAAGACUCCUACGGGAGGCAGCAGUAGGGAAUCUGCCGCAAUGGGCGAAAGCAUGACGGAGCAACGCCGCGUGAGUGAUGAAGGUCUUCGGAUCGUAAAACUCUGUUAUUAGGGAAGAACAUAUGUGGAAGUAACUGUGCACAGCUUGACGGUACCUAAUCAGAAAGCCACGGCUAACUACGUG
rnacentral:rRNA from 1 species